AAAGAGCGUCAGUUAAUGGGUGUUCGUGUUGCGCGUCAGUUGUUCUGUUCUCGCAAACACAUCUGAAAAAAGAAGAAAUUCCUUCGAUGGAAAUGAAUAAGCUAUCUUUUUAGCAAAAGGGGUAUAUUCUGGUGUCUCCUUCUUAGCAAAAGAAAGGGGUAUUUUGGUUGGCGGCUAUAAAGGAGGUGUCAAGGCCUUAAAGAGAUAUAUGGUAAGCGGUUCUAAGACCAGAGAGAGAGAAGACGACGAAGAAAGGACUUGCGUAUAAUAUGAAUUUAGCAGUCAACUAAUCAUUAAUUUCUUAUCGAGCGGAGAAACGGACUAUAUGGGGCAAACUGGAAUUGAAACUAAAGGAAUGGAAACGAAAACUCCACUUGAAGAUUACCUAAUUGCUACUUAAAGAUACAGCUUAUUUUAUUGUCGAUACCUACUCUUACUCGCACACAAUUUCUACUUUUAACCACUCUGAAAGCUACCUAUCCCUUAGUUACUAAUUUCUCUAUCAUACAGAGCUCAUUCUUAUGUUUCAUCUACUGAUCUCGUUUACUUUACUCGCACAAUAACUUGACUUUCUUUCUUAACCGCAUGAUUACACUCAACUUGAAGUGAAACUGACGCAGAGCUUCUCUAUACGACAACACUCUCACCAACACGAUAACCUCUCUAAACCGACCCCUUACUCUUUGAUUUCGCCAAUACCACCGAUUGAAGCUUAUUAUCCUGUUCCAGCCUCUGACCCAGCCAGAUGCUGCUCUAUAUUCUUUGGACCACAACUCGGUUAUGAAGCACAGACAAUCCGUUUAGUUGGGGAGGGGUUUGUGUCUUAAUAAAAUAAGAGAAGUUCAGCAACAUAAACAUAUAGUGGAGCUCGGUCAAGCCAAUCAAUAACCUCGUAGCCAAUAACCUCUCUCGCAUUGCAACAUUCCACUCCCGAAGAAAGCACUUGCACAAGAUACUGUUCUACCCGCACGCACUGCUACAAGCGUUAUACGUGGACCGCUCAAGUUGUUAGAUGAUUUCAACUGGAAUAAGUGAGUCUCGGUGCGGGGGCUAGUGCGGUAUAAAGGUUUAGCAUCUUUUUACUCUGUUGUCUUUGACUUUUCUCGUUUUAAGAAUCUGAGGUAUUGCCUUUGUAUAUCCAAAUUGUAAUAAGAGAAUCAUAUAUAUUCUGAAAUUCCACCAUAAAGCGCUUCUGAAAGUGGAGAGUCAGAAUCCGGAGCUGGGGAAGGAUAUGAAGAGGCUCAAUAAGAUGCUGUUACUGGUAAGGAAGAAAGAAAGAAAGUCAACUCUGGAAUCAGAGGUUUAGUCGUCAGCUGCAGAAGCAAGAUAAGGAUCUAAUGCAGUUUCAAGAGAUUGUUCGGCCCCCAAAAGAAAGGGGAAUAGAAUAGUUGAUUUACAAAGAGUUAUAUACCAAGUGUGCUCGAUAAGAGAUAUAUGAAAUGAAUACUUGAGAGUUGAGAGAAGAAGCUGAAGAAGAGAUAGGAUCCUAAGAAAGAUUAUAAGCGGGAACAGAAUCAUAGGCGGGGGCACAGGAUAAGAAGCUGAAGCGCGUCCUAUUGCCAGGUCAAGACCCAGACUCAGUGGCGAAAGUUCAUUAUGUUCUUUCUAAGUCAUAGAGAUCAGAAGCUAGAUCAGGCGAAGAAGCUGUUUCAACAUCCGAAUUAGAAGAAGACGCAAUCAGUGCUCAAAUCAGCAGCAAGCGGGCAAUCAACAAGUGUAGUUCUUGUUUCAUCCGUGUUUGCAACGAUAGAAUCCGCUGGAUCAAGAUCAUCUGCUGUUUUAGAAUCAGAGGAAUCAGAGGAGUAACCCGCAUCAGUGAGAGUUGUUGGCAGUGAAAGUGCAUUCUUGGAUUUGCCACCCGUUAGGGAGUUCGAAGCAUCAGCAAAGAUUAGAGGAAAAAAGGAAUUGGAAUAGCUUGUUGGGUGGUUGGAUAGGUGGAUUAGCUAUCAGAGGAGUGGACCCCGAACACCAGACUAGUUGAAACCUGUUAUAACUCGUUAUGUUGUUUGUUUCCGAACAAAGGGCGACUCAAAAAAGGGCAAAGGUCUAUGUUUCUGUCCUUCUUCAGCGCUUAGUACUGCGGAAUACGAGCAUCUUCAAGCAAUAAAUGAUGGUUAGUUACCGGAUUCUAUCAUACAGAGCGGGGAACAAUAAGCCUAAGUAACGGCUGCAACAAAUCAUUCAUCAACGGAAACAGCUACUCCCCCAAACUAUCCUUGAAUGGAACACCCUUCCACUGCUUCAUCUCGGCUUGAAGACCCAACAACGAAUGAAACUAGAGCAACUCUGAGCGCUAGUAUAGUUUGAAUUGGCAUUAGCUUACUUUUGAUAUUCUAAUCUUAGCUUACUUUAGCGGGUGCACCGGGCAAUAAUCGAGUUUAGAGUGUUUGUUUACAUUCAUUUCUAUAUUAGAUUAGUGGGCUACGCUUCAUUCUUUUUCACAAGUGAGUUGAUUCGCUCGCUAACGAACCCCUGCCCUGAACUAUAAGACUACAUGUUUGUUCCACUGCUUGCUUUACCUUUUCGUGCUUGGCUUUUGACCUUUCUUGUCGAUAAGAGUCAAUGUUCUCUAACGCUUACUUUCAGGGCGAAGCAAUAAGAGAAAGAUAAGGGAGUUGAUCAGGAGUUGUUCAGGCGUUAAAGCUAGGUUCCGGGCUGGAAUAUCUUACCGCCUCGCCUUGUACUCUCGAAGCAAGUAAAGUAUAGAAUAUGGAUCUUCAAGAUGGAUAUGAAUAAGGUGAAGCAAGAUCCGGUGCUGGCUUGACUUGCUCAUAACAGGAGCAGCCUGCCGGUGCUAGUAGAGUAGUUGCUUGUUACAGUCACAGUCCCAUCCAUACCUUCAUAUACUAUACCUAUACCUAUACCAACUAUGAAUUCAAUGUCAAAAACUCCCUUCCUUCCCGAGAAAGAUCCAUAUCCAUCUGUUGUUUCAUAUACUGCUGCUACUUUAGAUCUUGUUCUUGUUCCUGAGCUUUCCUCUGCUGGAACUUGAAGAACCGCUUACGAUUCUCGAACUACUGAUUCAGCUUAGACAGCAGAUUAUCUUGUCGAACUAGACUUUACAUCAAGUACGGUAAGAAAGGCAAACAUUAACCGAGUUGUAGGGCAGGGCAGUUUCUCAUGAAUAACCGAGUUGUAGGGCUGUCCACUCGACAAAGAAUUCCAUCUUUAAAGAAGAAAGUCCUGUUUAUGAUGUUGAAAGUAGGUCAUACUGGAAGAAGAGUGAGCCGCUUUAAUGAAAUAAAGGGAGGGCACCCCCUUCCUAGCGAACACUAGCUGCAGAGAUUGUGCUUAUUCCAUACGCUGUAAAGAACUCACUAUCUCUGGACAGGAAGGACCUAUUCUCGUAUCAGUCCUCUCUAAAGAAGCUAACUUAUUAAUAGGCUAACAUUAUAAGUCUGACGAAUAUUACUGCUCUAACGUGCUAUCUAGGAAAGCAGCAACAAAGGCUAGGUAAAGCGCAGUCACUCGAACCAUUAGCCAUUUCUAAAGGUCUUUUAACAAACAAGAUCAAGGGCGUUUUCAAGCGCGGGCAGGCUCCUGGGCGCAAACAAAGAAGCUAGUUAAGGAAGAUAUUUCUUGGACUUUACGCUAUAUGUAAGAAAUCCCUUUGGCUAAUAAAAAGCUGCUUUUCUGUCUUUCUUAACCUUCAGGAAGUAAGAGCAAUUGGCCCUUCCCUUUCGAAAGUGGAGGUUUUUUUUCCUACAACAAUCAGAUAUUAUUUGACGCUUGCUUCUAGCUUUGAACCAGCGAUAGGGGCGGCUUUCUUUCGAACCGAACUAUGUAGCUGCUUCGCCUUGAAUGUGCCUAACUAGCUUUUCGCCUUCCGCUUUCUCGAUCAACUAGAAACCUUUCAUUCAGAAAGAUAGAAUCCACAAAGUAGUAUGAUUACAGAAAGAAAGAAUCCACAAAGUAGUAUGAUUAUGACAAGAAUUGAUUAUUCGAUUAUAUUAGGAUAAUCAGGUGUUUUAGCAUGUUAGGAUAAUCAGGUGUUUUAGCAUUGGGUUCUUAGUAAUCAAGUUAUGGCUAUCGCGUCUUUCGUCCCUUUAUCCUUUGCCUUAUAUAUACUUUUUCCUUUGCCUUAUAUAUUGUAGUGUCGGUUAAGGCGAGCGUCUUCGUCCCUGUGCUUCUCUUGAUUGAGAAGGACUUAGACCAUCCGUGGACCGGCGAGACCAUUUCAGUCAACAAGGGAGAAGAAUCCAUCUAUCUCAGGGCUAUACUCAUUGGGCACAGGCAUGUUUUUCGCUCCCCUUUCUUCUUCAGUUGAAGAAUAGAGUUUCCUAAGAAGAAGAAACACUUGCAGAUCUUGUACAAAGAGAAGAAGACCAAGCCAUUAUCGUAUCGAUUACAGUAGAAGCGGGGAAAGAGAAAAUACGUCCAAAACGAAAUACCCCAACGGAACACUCGCUAUACACAGAGAGUGGAGAAAGUCAUGGUGUAGAAAACCCUGAAAAAACGAAACCGCUGGAUUGCAAGGCAUAGCAAGCAGCCGUUGAUUAGGUCAGAACAACGUCAUUCCAGGUCCUACUCUCCUAAUGCAUGCAGUUUUACCGAUCUUUCGUUUCGUCCUCUGCCUCUCCUGGGAAGCUUCACCCUCCGUUUAUUUGGAAAUCCUAAUAUCCCACCUGAUUCAACUCCAGGAACGACCGUGCCCCUCCGCGAAGGAAAUGCGAGUCUCGAAGCAGGCAAUCGGUCGCUUUUCUUAUUUCAAACAUGAUUUCUAACAGAUGAUGCCCAUGGAUCCCGAGUUUCUAACAGAUGAUGCUCAUGGAUCCCAAGCCCCGGGGAUAAAAAGCAAUGACAGGGCAUGGAUGUAUUCUCAAUCUUCCGAGGGGUACGGAGUGGCAUUUCAUCCUUAUUAUUCAGAUCCUUUUCCCACUCCCAAGAGUACCAUGCCUAUAAUUUCAUAGGUAAUAAAACGAGUGGCUAGUUGGUUUUUCUACGGGUACCUACUUGGUUGUUUUAUAGCUUCCUACAUCAAAGUUCAGUCCUAAAUUCUGAGUUUCCAGUUUGAAGCCUAUUGCUUGUCGAAUUCAAUCCUGAGUCGUGUGAGUUAAGGCCUUUUAAUGCCAGUUCCAUUCCUGUUAACAGAGGAAUCAGAUUCGAUGCCAAGUUAGUAAGAUUUAGAUGUAAGUAAGCCAGACUAAAAUAGAGAGAUUAGAAGACCGGAGCAGGGCAUUGAAUAGUUAAGAUCGGGAUUGGCAGAGAUACAAAUACAGAUUUUAGAUCGGUAAUACAUAAUUAUAUGAGUUUUAGAGUCAAUAAGGGCAGCAGGCUAAAAGCAAGUAAUGUCAGAGACUCUACCUAAUUGGGUAGGCAGUAAGAAUAUGAGUCAGGAAGGAAAUACUCCAAAAAAGAGGUGGACUACACACUCUAAGGCGGGAAAGGCAAGGUCGGAAGUCAGAUUUAGGUAUAGUAGCGGCGGGCUCAUAUACAGCAAAGUCUGGAUCCGGACCAGGAGUCAAAGAAAGCAAGUCUCGAGUUUCAGAAUGUCAAGUUACCCCCAGUGGCUAACUCCUAUUCUGACUACUGGACAUCCGCAUCUGUUACGCGUGAGUGUUGUUCCACCCAGAAACAAGAGCAUAGGAAAUGUGGCUAACGAGCGGAGGCUUAGAGACAGGAAUGGCAUGUUUCAAUAUAAGUAAGUAUUAGCAGACUGGCCCCUUGGGGGGCGUGGGAAGACUUUAGCUCAGGAGCCUAAGAGUGAAGAGCUACUAAGGUAGAGUUCGGUAAUAAGAUAAAGAUUCCAUGAUUUGUUGACUUUGCUUCAGCAUUAAGUCCGGUCAUUCUGCUGUUGACUUUCGAGCACUAGACUUGUUCUUGACCCAACCCCUGUUAGCACAAGGUCUUACGUCCUAUCUUGUUCCGAGUCAACUAAUACGGAAUAUACUUAAUCUCACCUAUCUCUGAAUAUAUUGAAUCUAACCUAUCCUCUCGCUAUUAGUG
rnacentral:lncRNA from 1 species